rnacentral:rRNA from 1 species
GAUGAACGCUGGCGGCGUGCCUAAUACAUGCAAGUCGAGCGAACAGACGAGGAGCUUGCUCCUCUGACGUUAGCGGCGGACGGGUGAGUAACACGUGGAUAACCUACCUAUAAGACUGGGAUAACUUCGGGAAACCGGAGCUAAUACCGGAUAAUAUAUUGAACCUCAUGGUUCAAUAGUUAAAGACGGUUUUGCUGUCACUUAUAGAUUGAUCCGGGCCGCAUUAGCUAGUUGGUAAGGUAACGGCUUACCAAGGCGACGAUGCGUAGCCGACCUGAGAGGGUGAUCGGCCACACUGGAACUGAGACACGGUCCAGACUCCUACGGGAGGAAGCAGUAGGGAAUCUUCCGCAAUGGGCGAAAGCCUGACGGAGCAACGCCGCGUGAGUGAUGAAGGUCUUCGGAUCGUAAAACUCUGUUAUUAGGGAAGAACAAAUGUGUAAGUAACUAUGCACGUCUUGACGGUACCUAAUCAGAAAGCCACGGCUAACUACGUG